rnacentral:rRNA from 1 species
CUGGUUGAUCCUGCCAGAGGUCACUGCUAUCGGGGUUCGAUUAACCCAUGCGAGUCGAGGGGGUUCGGCCCUCGGCGGACUGCUCAGUAACACGUGGAUAACCUGCCCUAGGGUGGGGCAUAACCCCGGGAAACUGGGGAUAAUACCCCAUAGGUUAGAGAUGCUGGAAUGGCCUUUAACCCAAAGCUCCGGCGCCUUAGGAUGGAUCUGCGGGCGGUUAGGGUAGUUGUNUGGGGUAACGGGCCAACAAGCCUGUAAUCGGUACGGGGUUGUGGGAGCAAGAGCCCGGAGAUGGACUCUGAGACACGAGUCCAGGGCCUACGGGGCGCAGCAGGCGCGAAAACUUUACAGUGGAGGAAACUGUGAUAAGGGAACCCCGAGUGGCCGGAUACGCGGGCUGGCCAGGUGGAUAAAAAGCAUCUGAANAAAGGGCCGGGCAAGAGCGGUGGCANGCCGGCGCGGUAAUAGCGGCGGGCUCGAGUGGUGGCCACUUUUAGUGGGCUUAGAGGGUCGNAAAGCUUGGUUGUUAAGUCUCUUGGGAAUCUCACGGCUCAGGCGUGAGGGGUACUAGGGAUACUGGGCACCUANGGNACCGANANAGGUGAGAGUACUCNNNNGGGGUAGGAGUGGAAUCCUGGAAUCCUUGGGGGGACGNCUUGGGGGNGAAGGGCCUCAACAGACGGGUUCCUAGGGUGAAGGGACAAAAGCUGGGGGAGCAAACGGAUUAAAUUCCCCGGUAG